UUCUUUCUGAUCCUUCUCCAAAUGUUUGAGACGUAAAGGCUGCUUCAGGACUAAUCAAAACAUGUUUUAAAGACCGGAAAACUUAAUGUACAACACACAUUAAUUCUAGAUCUAACAUGAUAGAGUGUCUAUCACUACCUGCAUGCAUCCAUAUUUGUACAAUUCAUUGGGCUGCUACCUUACGUAAUUUGGUCUGACAUUACGGCUGCAUGUGUGUGCCUGUUAUUGUACAAAUAUAUUUUCCAGCAACCAUGUUACGCCUUAUCCUAGUUCUUGCAUCGUUGACCUCUUAUUAUAUCCAGAAUCCACUUCUUCCUGAAACUAAAUCUGCAUUCACAUUGACCACUCUAAACUACUCAUGCUUUAGUUCCCUGCAUUUUCCUUCAUUGGACAUCAUCUUCUCCAUGUCGUUCAUCAAGAUGCGUAUCCCUACGGCUCCUUCAGAAUCAUAUACACCAUGUUCUCAUCCUCGAACGCUACAGAAACAUCCGAUGCAGGUAAUGUUAAUACGUCAAAUAUUAGCAUCAAGCUAGCAAUCAACCAACAUGGAGAACCAAAGUUGCCUUCUUUAGGCUAGCUGUGUCGUGUCUAAGACAUGUUUGCCUAAUAUUGUUCUCGGUAAACAUGACACAUGGUGCCAUCUGGGUAGCCCUACCGGAGCAUACUUUUUCCCAAUUAGGAAAACAGUAAAACGGCCGUAACUUGUCCUUCCAUCUAUGUCAUUUGUUUGCCGAGUCCCUAUGUUCUGCACUCGGCGAUGAUUUUUGUAGGUGCCGAUUGGUGCCCAUACAAAUGAAAAAUCGACGACAUAAAUUUGCCAACAGGCGCCCAACAUAGUCGUGUUUUCGAGUGUAGCACUCGGCAAAUAUUAUGCCGAAUUCUUCAAGAUUACGUACCUUCCCUCCGGGGCUCAACAUAGCCGUCAUCCAUCAAAAGUGACUGCACCAAUCACGGUAUAGCUUUGUCCUCCAUAUCCCUUACACCCUGCCUCUAUUGGUUGAGGGAUUGAGAGAACUAUGAGGGGAAGCUGAAUCAUAGCAGGGAGUCGUUGAUUGAGUUAGGGUUAAUAAGUUAAGAACAGGAAAUAGAGUUCCACCCGUACAGGAAGUAUUGACAUUGGACAGUCUCUUUUUCUACAUAUAUGGUACAUGUUUUUCUCCUGUACGCUAUAUGAAGAUCUAUAUCUUGUUUUUGGAGGGAUAUAGAUUACUGAUUUUGUUUUGACAUCGAUGUCAUCUGCUUCAAGGAACCACAUAAUAAAAGAAAACUGAAUCGCUAAUAGCACGAUCAAAGGUGGCGAUGAAAAAAUUUGAAUCCAAAUUGGCAAAAACAAACUAAAAAUAAAUCAGUGUGAGAACACAAACCUGAUCUGGAUGAAAAAUAUAUUUUAAUGUGAUUAGCUCCGUCAGCGCAGCAGAUCCAUGCCCCACUUCGUUCUUGCAAUCUGGGAGAGGAACGGAUCUAUUUCCAUGUGGACAAACUGGCAAAAACAAACUAAAAACAAAUGAGCGUGAGAAGUCAAACCUGAUAUGGAUAAAAAAAUGUGAUUAGCUCCGUCAGUGCAGCAGAUUCAUGCCCCACUUCCUUCUUGCAAUUUGGAAGAGGCACGGAUCUAUUUCCAUGUGGAGAGGUAGAGAGAGAAGAGAGUUUGAGGAGAGAGACGUGAGAUGGAGAGAGGGGUCCAUCUCCAACUUCCUUCCUCCAAUAUGAGAAAGACAUGGAUCUCUUUCCCAUCAGAACAUGAAGAGAGACAUGAGAGCGUGAGAGAUUUGCUGCGGGACUGAGAAUAGGAUUACUUCAGGUCGUUCGUUAGUGUUAAAGGAAGAGAUGGAGACGUACAUGCCUGGGAGAUUGAGAGAAAGUAGGAUUGCUUCAGCUUAUUUUUUACUGGGAAAGGAAG
rnacentral:lncRNA from 1 species